UGGGGAAUAUUGGACAAUGGGCGAAAGCCUGAUCCAGCCAUGCCGCGUGUGUGAAGAAGGUCUUCGGAUUGUAAAGCACUUUAAGUUGGGAGGAAGGGCAGUAAGCGAAUACCUUGCUGUUUUGACGUUACCGACAGAAUAAGCACCGGCUAACUCUGUGCCAGCAGCCGCGGUAAUACAGAGGGUGCAAGCGUUAAUCGGAAUUACUGGGCGUAAAGCGCGCGUAGGUGGUUCGUUAAGUUGAAUGUGAAAGCCCCGGGCUCAACCUGGGAACUGCAUCCAAAACUGGCGAGCUAGAGUAGGGCAGAGGGUGGUGGAAUUUCCUGUGUAGCGGUGAAAUGCGUAGAUAUAGGAAGGAACACCAGUGGCGAAGGCGACCACCUGGGCUCAUACUGACACUGAGGUGCGAAAGCGUGGGGGGCAAACAGG
rnacentral:rRNA from 1 species